rnacentral:lncRNA from 1 species
UGGUUUAAAAUUGAGAGAGUGAUGUUGUUUCUCAAAGGCAGGCAAAGACCUCGCGCCGAGCCGGUAGGGUUGACACUAAUUAAAUCCACAAAAUUAUAUAUUCUCAUCCAUUUUCGGACAGCAUAUUCUUUAUUCUUAGUUUCCAUAAGAAAGACAACAUCCGGGAAAUGGGAAUUACGCAUCCCUUUGAGGUGGCCAAUUGUUAGGGGAUUCCACACCCUGACAAUUCCAACUCAUAAUCUUCAUUGGGCACCAUAGGGCCAUUUUGAGAUGGCUACCUCUACCUUCAGAAUAUUAGAUUCCAA